UGGGCAACCUGCCCUCAGCUCUGGGAUAACUCCAAGAAAUUGGGGCUAAUACCGGAUAUGACCGCUGACCGCAUGGUCUGGUGGUGGAAAGAUUUAUCGGCUGGGGAUGGGCCCGCGGCCUAUCAGCUUGUUGGUGGGGUAGUGGCCUACCAAGGCGACGACGGGUAGCCGGCCUGAGAGGGUGACCCGGCCACACUGGGACUGAGACACGGCCCAGACCUCCGUACGGGGA
rnacentral:rRNA from 1 species